UACGUAGGGCGCAAGCGUUGUCCGGAAUUAUUGGGCGUAAAGAGCUCGUAGGCGGCCAGUUGCGUCUGCUGUGAAAUCCCUGGGCUCAACCCAGGGCCUGCAUCGGAAACUGUCGGGCUUGAGUAUGGGAGAGGUGAGUGGAAUUUCCGGUGUAGCGGUGAAAUGCGUAGAUAUCGGAAGGAACACCUGUGGCGAAAGCGGCUCACUGGACCAUUACUGACGCUGAGGCACGAAAGCUAGGGGAGCAAACAGG
rnacentral:rRNA from 1 species